GAUGAACGCUAGCGGCAGGCUUAACACAUGCAAGUCGUGGGGCAGCACGGACUUCGGUCUGGUUGCGACCGGCAAACGGGUGCGGAACACGUACACAAUCUACCUUUAUCUGGGGUAUAGCCUGAAGAAAGUCGGAUUAAUCCCCCAUAAUAUAUUAGAGUGGCAUGACUUCGAUAAUAAAACUCCGGUGGAUAAAGAUGAGUGUGCGUCCCAUUAGGGAUUUGGUAGGGUAACGGCCUACGAAGGCAACGAUGGGUAGCUGGUGUGAGAGCACGAACAGCCACACGGGCACUGAGACACGGGCCCGACUGCUACGGGAGGCAGCAGUGAGGAAUAUUGGUCAAUGGACGCAAGUCUGAACCAGCCAUGCCGCGUGAAGGAUGAAGGCCUUCUGGGUUGUAAACUUCUUUUAUUGGGGAAGAAAAUUACGGUUUCUACUGUAACCGACGGUACCCAAGGAAUAAGCACCGGCUAACUCCGUGCCAGCCGCCGCAGUAA
rnacentral:rRNA from 1 species